rnacentral:rRNA from 1 species
UAGCUUGCUAGUUAUGAUUAGUGGCGGACGGGUGAGUAACAUUUAGGAAUCUGCCUAGUAGUGGGGGAUAGCUCGGGGAAACUCGAAUUAAUACCGCAUACGACCUACGGGUGAAAGGGGGCGCAAGCUCUUGCUAUUAGAUGAGCCUAAAUCAGAUUAGCUAGUUGGUGGGGUAAAGGCCCACCAAGGCGACGAUCUGUAACUGGUCUGAGAGGAUGAUCAGUCACACCGGAACUGAGACACGGUCCGGACUCCUACGGGAGGCAGCAGUGGGGAAUAUUGGACAAUGGGGGCAACCCUGAUCCAGCCAUGCCGCGUGUGUGAAGAAGGCCUUUUGGUUGUAAAGCACUUUAAGCAGGGAGGAGAGGCUAAUGGUUAAUACCCAUUAGAUUAGACGUUACCUGCAGAAUAAGCACCGGCUAACUCUGUGCCAGCAGCCGCGGUAAUACAGAGGGUGCGAGCGUUAAUCGGAAUUACUGGGCGUAAAGCGAGUGUAGGUGGCUCAUUAAGUCACAUGUGAAAUCCCCGGGCUUAACCUGGGAACUGCAUGUGAUACUGGUGGUGCUAGAAUAUGUGAGAGGGAAGUAGAAUUCCAGGUGUAGCGGUGAAAUGCGUAGAGAUCUGGAGGAAUACCGAUGGCGAAGGCAGCUUCCUGGCAUAAUAUUGACACUGAGAUUCGAAAGCGUGGGUAGCAAACAGGAUUAGAUACCCUGGUAGUCCACGCCGUACACGAUGUCUACUAGCCGUUGGGGUCCUUGAGACUUUAGUGGCGCAGUUAACGCGAUAAGUAGACCGCCUGGGGAGUACGGCCGCAAGGUUAAAACUCAAAUGAAUUGACGGGGGCCCGCACAAGCGGUGGAGCAUGUGGUUUAAUUCGAUGCAACGCGAAGAACCUUACCUG